rnacentral:rRNA from 1 species
AUACGGAGGAUCCGAGCGCUAUCCGGAUUUAUUGGGUUUAAAGGGUGCGCAGGCGGCCAUUUAAGUCAGCGGUUAAAUCGUGGGGCUCAACCCCAUUCUGCCGUUGAUACUGGGUGGCUUGAUUGCGGUCGAGGUUGGCGGAAUUCGUUGUGUAGCGGGGAAAUGCAUAGAUAUGACGAAGAACACCGAUUGCGUAGGCAGCUGACCAGACCGCAAAUGACGCUCAUGCACGAAAGUGCGGGGAUCGAACAGGAUUAGAUACCCUGGUAGUCCGCACAGUAAACGAUGAAUACUUGUUUUCGGCGAUAUAAUGUCGGAGGCAAAGCGAAAGCGAUAAGUAUUCCACCUGGGGAGUACGCCGGCAACGGUGAAACUCAAAGGAAUUGACGGGG